rnacentral:lncRNA from 1 species
UCUAUUUAUAUUUUAAUAAUUCAAAUCAAUUAAGAAGCAGUUCAUUAAAAUCAUUACAUCUUUAUUCAUAAAUAAAGAGAUCAUGGUAAAGUAUGAGUACAUUUCUCUUUCUCUUUUUUUUUUGUUUUAAACAUAAUUGAGAAAAACUAAGAAUCCAACAAAACAUAUCAUUAUUCUUACAAAAGAGAGAAACAUGUUGUACCUGAUAAUUUUAAAUCAGAGUCGAGAACUUUAAAAGAAGAUAACCUACCGUGAUGGUUAGAGACUCGUGCCGAUAACGUGUUAUAAAAUGAAAGCAAUUUAGUAAAACAUAAACAAGAAAUAUGAGCAACUUAGUGAAACAUGAACAAGAAAUAUAGAUAGAGAGAAGGAAGAGAUUUUC